rnacentral:rRNA from 1 species
UACGUAGGGGGCUAGCGUUGUCCGGAAUCAUUGGGCGUAAAGAGCGUGUAGGCGGCUUGGUAAGUCCGCUGUGAAAGUCCAGGGCUCAACCCUGGAAUGCCAGUGGAAACUGUCAAGCUAGAGUCCGGAAGAGGCGAGUGGAAUUCCUGGUGUAGCGGUGAAAUGCGCAGAUAUCAGGAGGGAACACCAAUGGCGAAAGGCAGCUCGCUGGGACGGUACUGACGCUGAGACGCGAAAGCGUGGGGAGCAAACAGG